rnacentral:lncRNA from 1 species
ACUCAGAGCUGCUCCAGAGUUGGGUUGGGGCAGGGCCCGUUCCAGGGCAGCCAAGCUGGUCCCUUUAGCUCGUGGCAUCUCUGUUUUGCUGUCACCCAGGGUUACAGGGUCUUCCCGUGUUCAUAACCACGCUAAUGCACACUCUUCCCCCGCUUCCCUCCCCAGGAACCCUCAGCCCACAGAAUGCUGGUUUCUCUCCAUAGCUCCUGGGAGAGGGGCUGCCCUGGCCAUUGUCCAUUAUGACCAGUCCAAGUCUUUCUAGAUAUGUUCACAGGAAAAAAAGUCCUCACUGGAAAUGGGGAAGCGUUUGGUAGAGCCGUGUCGGCCACAGGUGUUAGAGUGUUGGAUGUUGCUCCAAACCACGGUGGAGGUGAAUGAUUGGAGCCCUGUACCACCAGGGGACCCGGCAUUUGAACUUGCUUGUCUCUUAUCUGAUCAGCUGCUCUGCUGCUUUAUGCAAGGAGAUCUAGGUCCCAAGGAACCCUGGUUAUCUCAGGUCUGAAUGCACCACCAGCCAAAAUACCUCUUACUUAACAGGAUUUUUUUUCCCACUGAACAAGCUCUAGAGAACCCAGGUUAGAGAGUACCCAUGAGUUUAGGCAACAAGUUAGCUCUCCAAGAGGAACCUCGUAAACCCAGAGAGACAGAGGCCCACGGCAGGAAGUAGCUGGUUCCGGAUGCUGGAGGAAAUGAAGUGGCCAGAUUCUGCCUGAAUCUGCCCAUGGACGCUGCAGCUGGACAGCGAGUGGGGGCCUCAGAGUGCUGCGUGAGCUGAGGAACAGUCCUGGUGAGUCAAUCCCCACUUGGAGGAGAUGGAAAAUUUUACCCCGGAGGGAAGAAUAUACUUAGUAAUGUCCACGGGACUUCACCAGCCCAGAAACCCUCCGUGUUUCUAAGAAAACUUCGCUUACUAAUAUGAAGGAGGGACUUGAGCUUGAGGAUGUGAACUUUCCAGAAAGCAAAAACCACAGAGUGGGCAGAGCCCUGCUUCUCCUCCGCGUGCGGAUCGCUGGCUGCUCUGCGGUUAUUCCCAGGCUGGCACGUCUUGUCCACUGGGGUCCAAGAAGCGGAGGUCCGUGGGUAUUUCUGACUCUGCUGGAAGUUUCUGUUUUCUUGGAAAACAUGCCUGUGAUCUAGUGGACCAGACACCUCUGCUCUCCAAGCAGGGUCCACGGGGUGCUCAGGGUGCUGUUGACGACCCGUCCGGAUGGCUGCCAUGUGUGCGGGGCCCCAGCCCCCGUCUGUGGACAUGGGCACCAUUAUCGGGAUUGCUUGAAAAGGCUGAAGAUAACUGUCUAGUAUUUCUCCCUUUACUAAAAGUAUUUUAAACUGUGAAACAAUAAUAUUGGAGGAAUAAAU